GUGAAAUUCCGUCGGAAUCUGGGAGGACCAUCUCCUAAGGCUAAAUACUCUCUAGUGACCGAUAGUGAACCAGUACCGUGAGGGAAAGGUGAAAAGCACCCCGGAAGGGGAGUGAAAUAGAACCUGAAACCGUGUGCUUACAAGUAGUCAGAGCCCGUUAAUGGGUGAUGGCGUGCCUUUUGUAGAAUGAACCGGCGAGUUACGAUUUGAUGCAAGGUUAAGCAGUAAAUGUGGAGCCGUAGCGAAAGCGAGUCUGAAUAGGGCGUUUAGUAUUUGGUCGUAGACCCGAAACCAGGUGAUCUACCCUUGGUCAGGUUGAAGUUCAGGUAACACUGAAUGGAGGACCGAACCGACUUACGUUGAAAAGUGAGCGGAUGAACUGAGGGUAGCGGAGAAAUUCCAAUCGAACCUGGAGAUAGCUGGUUCUCUCCGAAAUAGCUUUAGGGCUAGCCUCAAGUGAUGAUUAUUGGAGGUAGAGCACUGUUUGGACGAGGGGCCCCUCUCGGGUUACCGAAUUC
rnacentral:rRNA from 1 species